UUAAGUUUUGUAACUAUAAAACUAAAUGAGAAACAACCUCAAUUAUUAUAGAUUUUAUUUUGCAGAUCCCUGUUUGGUUGUAUCCAAGAUUAUUACAAAAAUAGUUCAAGAAAAAGCUUACAAACUAAUUAAUUAUUUGUUACAAAAACCUGAUCUUUCAAUUUCAAUCGUUUUGAUUGCUAUAAUUUUUAUAAUGAUUGCAAUAACUAUCUCUUUUAUGGCCAUGGCUGGGAUAACGUGUUUGGCGGUUUUUAUUAUUGUGGUAGAAAGUAUUUUAAUUUUGAUUUGUAUUUGUUUAUUCAUCAAUAUCCUUUCUGUUAUAACAUUAACAUUAAUUAUAACACGCUUAAUAAAAGUAAAAGAUAUUUAAUUGAUGAAUUAGAUUAUAUAUAUACCUAUAACCGUAGCAUCGUAGCUUCGCAUCCACGAUUACAAGAAAAUGCAUUGAUUUUAAUCAAAAAAUAUCUUUAUUGACUUAUAAUUAUAAUUAAUUGACUUAUACAUAUUAAUUUUUAAACGAUAGCUAAUUUAUGAUUUUAUUAGAUAAAUAAAAUUGUUGUAAUUGGUUACGUAAUAUUGUUAGAUAUGCUAUAAAAAUUGUUACAUUUUUAUCAAUUAAAAUGAAAUUUAAAGUAAA